rnacentral:rRNA from 1 species
UACGGAGGGUGCAAACGUUGCUCGGAAUCAUUGGGCGUAAAGCGCACGUAGGCGGUCUUCUAAGUCGGAUGUGAAAGCCCUGGGCUCAACCUGGGAAUUGCAUUGGAUACUGGCAGGCUAGAGUGCGGUAGAGGAUGGCGGAAUUCCCGGUGUAGCAGUGAAAUGCGUAGAGAUCGGGAGGAACAUCUGUGGCGAAGGCGGCCAUCUGGACCAGCACUGACACUGAGGCACGAAAGCGUGGGGAGCGAACAGG